CCUCAACUUACUGCGCUGCCAUCUUUGUACGAAUAUAUGUUUUUAGCUGUUCGGGCUUCCACCAACUUCAACCUUCGUCGGUGAUCGAUAGAGGGAGAGAGACUGUGAGAGGAAAAAAAGAGUGAUCGAUCUAGAUUUAGUCAUCAUCUUCAGUUAUCAAGAACGAGAGAGAGAGAGAGAGAGAGAGAGAGAGGGACAUUGGAGGCAAAUCCGUCAAACAUAGAGUCGUCGCCAGUGAAGCCAAUUGAAUCCUACAAUUUCAAGCUUGGGUCAUUCUGUCAUCUAAUUCUCAGAAACCAAUUGGAAUCAAGAAUCGGCCUCCAAACCAAAGUAGUCGAAAUUGUCUUCUGGGGCUGUAGAGGAGGACAAAAAUCCCUGAUCAAUGCAAACACUAGAUUAAUCUAACAUUUGUGGUUUAUUGGAAUCCCCACGAUCCAGGCUGAGGGAUUUACAGUGGAGUUUAAGGUGAUCUCAUAAUUCAAGUGAAGGGAAGUAGAUAUUUGCUUCACAAGGUCACACAUUGCAGCUUCAAGCAUUCUUCAAAUCUUGCAUACUCCAUGGCUAGAUGGACAAAAUUUCAACUAUUAUACUCUACAAAGCAUGAAGCUGACAACCUUUCAGAUCAGUACACGAAUGAGCUUCGUGGUUGUUGUACAUAGUGUUAAAUGAACAUGUGAAAAAUUUGUUUCAAACUGAAAACUUCAUUUGAUUAUGGGUAGUUGUUAGUUCACUUAGAACAACAGAAAUUGAUUACUGUUAUGCAUCCCUAAAUGCAGUUAUUUUUGUCUAUACAAGCCUUUUCAUUU